rnacentral:rRNA from 1 species
GACGAACGCUGGCGGCGUGCCUAAUACAUGCAAGUCGAGCGCAGGAAAUCAUCCGAACCCUUCGGGGGGACGUUGAUGGAAUGAGCGGCGGACGGGUGAGUAACACGUAAAGAACCUGCCCUCAGGUCUGGGAUAACCACGAGAAAUCGGGGCUAAUACCGGAUGGGUCAUCGGACCGCAUGGUCCGAGGAUGAAAGGCGCUUCGGCGUCGCCUGGGGAUGGCUUUGCGGUGCAUUAGCUAGUUGGUGGGGUAAUGGCCCACCAAGGCGACGAUGCAUAGCAGACCUGGGAGGGUGAUCGGCCACACUGGGACUGAGACACGGCCCAGACUCCUACGGGAGGCAGCAGUAGGGAAUCGUCCACAAUGGACGAAAGUCUGAUGGAGCAACGCCGCGUGAACGAUGAAGGCCUUCGGGUCGUAAAGUUCUGUUGUAAGGGAAGAACAAGUGCCGCAGGCAAUGGCGGCACCUUGACGGUACCUUGCGAGAAAGCCACGGCUAACUACGUGCCAGCCGCCGCCGUAACAC